GAUGAACGCUGGCGGCGUGCCUAAUACAUGCAAGUCGAGCGAACAGACGAGGAGCUUGCUCCUCUGACGUUAGCGGCGGACGGGUGAGUAACACGUGGAUAACCUACCUAUAAGACUGGGAUAACUUCGGGAAACCGGAGCUAAUACCGGAUAAUAUAUUGAACCGCAUGGUUCAAUAGUGAAAGACGGUUUUGCUGUCACUUAUAGAUGGAUCCGCGCCGCAUUAGCUAGUUGGUAAGGUAACGGCUUACCAAGGCAACGAUGCGUAGCCGACCUGAGAGGGUGAUCGGCCACACUGGAACUGAGACACGGUCCAGACUCCUACGGGAGGCAGCAGUAGGGAAUCUUCCGCAAUGGGCGAAAGCUUGACGGAGCAACGCCGCGUGAGUGAUGAAGGUCUUCGGAUCGUAAAACUCUGUUAUUAGGGUAGAACAAAUGUGUAAGUAACUAUGCACGUCUUGACGGUACCUAAUCAGAAAGCCACGGCUAACUACGUG
rnacentral:rRNA from 1 species